AUUGAACGCUGGCGGCAGGCCUAACACAUGCAAGUCGAGCGCGUGGCGGACGGGUGAGUAAUUUGUGGGAAUCUGCCUGAUGGAGGGGGAUCACUACUGGAAACUGUCUCUAAUACCGCAUACCCUCAGAUGUGCCCAUAUGGGAUUAGCUUGUUGGUGGGGUAACGGCUCACCAAGGCGACGAUCCCUAGCUGGUCUGAGAGGAUGAACAGCCACACUGGAACUGAGACACGGCCCAGACUCCUACGGGAGGCAGCAGUGGGGAAUAUUGCACAAUGGGCGCAAGCCUGAUGCAGCCAUGCCGCGUGUAUGAAGAAGGCCGUCGGGUUGUAAAGUACUUUCAGCGGGGAGGCGUUACCCGCAGAAGAAGCACCGGCUAACUCCGUGCCAGCAGCCGCGGUAAUAC
rnacentral:rRNA from 1 species